AGCAAGACUUUAAAAGAGCUGAGAGAGGAAGAGAGACGGACAGGAGAACGUGCUUCCCUACUGGACGCUGGACAACAGCACCACCAGCAACAGUCAGCAUCUGAGGUGACCUGGACCGCGGUAAAUGCUCGCCAGCCAAACACACUGAGGUCAGAUCUCCCUCUAGAGGAGAGAAGAGGAACAACAGCUGCACUUCACCAUGGGAGCGCCUUGAGCACUGGGUUGGAAUUUCAGGAACUGCACUGAAAUGGUUUGCCUCCUUCUUAGAAGGAUUAUUG